CAGGAAGAGAGCUGGCCGGAAGAUAUGUACCCUGUGAAGACCGAGAGAGAGGCCGUCCAGCCUCAGCACGCCUGCACCCAGGCGCUCAUUAAAACAGCAUGUUGCUCCCCACUGCCUCGUGUUGUCUGUUGGCGCGCUGUCGGGGUUCGAACCGAUACAAGAACCUUCCACCUACCUGGUGCUUUGGCCUCAUCUAUAAGCUUUUCCACUGUCCUGAAACAAGAUAGAGAAUCUGAGCGGCCAGUCAUCUGCCCUAAGUGCUGCCGCCGAAGACUGAAUGUCCUGGAAAGUUUGCUGUCACAUCUCCAUUAUGACAAAAGCAUUGUGCCGAACAGAUGAAAAAAUGCAUUGUCAACGGAAUCUUUUAUGUUUGUUUGUCUUCCUUUAAGCAACAUUGCCUUACUUGUUAUAAAAGAUAAAUAAAUAUUUGUUCAUUUCAA
rnacentral:lncRNA from 1 species